UGUCCCGACCUUAGUUAAACUCUGUGUAUUAUUUAGAGGCUUUGUAGACCUAAUGUACAGUCAAGGUGGUGUUUUGUUAGUAGACGUGAUGGCUCCAACGGCCAAGUAUUGUAUAUACGUAUAUAUGUGUGCUCGAGCUUAUACAGGUGAUUAUUUCCUUUUAUAUGCGACAUGAUGUUGUCCGAAUUUCGGGUUGUCAUAGAGGUAUGCAUGGGAAGUAUAAGGUUAUGAGCUGGUUCUCCCGGGCCUCCUCGGUUACGGGUGCCAGUCCGCCCCAAUAGGAUUU
rnacentral:lncRNA from 1 species